rnacentral:misc_RNA from 1 species
UUACCCAACUCGCAACCUUCUUCAUCAGCCAAGCCUCCAUCAUGGACCGGAAACUCUCCUCCAACUUCACUAUCCCUGUAGGUUCCGUCAACGUUUUCAGUGCCAUCAAUGCUGUCAUUCUCGUACCCAUCCAUGAAAAAUUAAUCGUCCCAAUCCUCUCUAAACACACGGGCCAUCGCCAUGGCAUCACAUCAUUGCAACGGAUGGGUGUGGGCUUAUUUGUUUCAAUCUUUGCCCUAACCUCAGCUGCUUUGGUGGAGAAAAAGAGA